CCUUCGGGUGACGAGUACAGUGGCGAACGGGUGAGCAACACGUGGGCAACCUGCCCCAGGCAUGGAAAGUAACACUUCCAACGAAGUGCUAAUACCGAAUGACAAGGCGAGUUGAUGACUCGUUUUUAAAGGUGGCCUCUACUUGCUAAGCUGCCGCCUAAGGAUGGGCCCGCGUCGUAUUAGCUUGUUGGUAGGGUAACGGCCUACCAAGGCGACGAUGCGUAGCCGGCCUGAGAGGGUGAACGGCCACACU
rnacentral:rRNA from 1 species